AAAACUAGCAACAUAUUUUCAAGGCAAAGUAAUAUACAUAAGGGUCAAGGUUGGUUUGUAGUAUACACAUGCCUUGGAUGUUCAGAGGGAGUUAAGUCCUGAUAGGAAAGAAAGUAUUUGGAUGUAGCUGUUACAUUUAAUUUUCCUUGUGCAGUCAGUAGAUACUCUGUCUCCAAGGAAUGGGUCUUUCCCUCUUUCCUACUCACCCUCCCCCCCCGUUUUUCUAGAACCUUCCAUCCCUCCCCAUUGGUGAGCCCACUGAGUCUUUGAUUCCUUCCUGAUUGCCCUCUGGAAGACAUCUAUCAGACACUGUCUUAUCUGUUUGUAAGGCAGCUCAGGCCCCAGAUUUAAGUCAUGGGUUCUGGCUACAAGUUAGAGUGUGAUUAAUAAUUGACUAAUGUAGCUUUUAUUUAUCACGGGCUAGCACAUUUCGCCAUUACUGAGUUAAUUUAUGUUAAGUGUAAGCUGUCGUUCAAUCUGUUUUUCAACUUUUUUUUUUUUUAAAUCCUAAGUCUAUCUUUCACUUUUUGAGAAACAAAAUCCUUAUACAGGGCACAGGCUCACUCGGUGCCAAAAAGUUGAUUUCCUUUUCACUGGAGCCAUACAUCACCAGCCCUCCCAGCUGCACUGUCAGGCUGUGACAGAAUGACAUGUGUCAUUUAUCAAAGGGGCCAGGCUGGGCCUUGGGAAACGCUGCCGACAAAGCCCGAGAGAGUUCAUUUCGCAGUCCCCUCCUACCCUCUGUAAGCCCCUUGCCAGGAAAGCCUGUGAUGUUUCUGUCUUCACAGCAUUACUGAGGCAAAGAAAAGGCUGCCCUCACCCCCAGAUUGUUUACUUUUUGGAUGAGUCCCCAAACUACCAGAAAGGAACCAAAAAGUGAAAAGGGAAAAAAAGAUGCACCGGAGGCGAGUGUACAGUGUUAAAAUAUAAAAAAGCGUUUGGUUAAAAUGUUUCUUCACCCUAGAAGGGAAGACUUUUGCAUUUUAAUCAUGUGUGAGAAUGUGAGAAAAGUUGCUGGUUCUCCCAUCCCUACCCCUUUGUACUCUGUGUAGUCCCCAGCACUGAAGCUAUUUACGGCUUCAGAUAUCAUUUAAAGAGAUAUCUAAGCAGACUGUUGCCUCAGCCAGGAACUUUCCAGAAAGAAGUCCUAUAAAUUAGCCAUCGCUCAGGAGUGGCUGUUUCCUAGGCAGAGCUGGCCCUUCAUUUGUCUACAUAAGGCUAAUUUAUUUUUGCAGCCAGAUGUGAGCUGACAGCCAUCACUCAGAGCUUCCUUCCCCCACUGUCACGAGGUCGGGAAAACAGUCACGUUUCCCAUUUUACAGAAUCCCCAUCAACAUUAUUGAAGAUGGAUGUAUCUUUAAAGCAAAGAUUGAUUGUGGAUAUCGGAGUUAUGGUGCCAUUUAUCAUGGUGAAUAUUAUUUAGACUUGGGUUGUACAAGGCUGUAACUUGAGACCCAGCCAGGGGAGGGACAAUCUGGAA
rnacentral:lncRNA from 1 species